rnacentral:rRNA from 1 species
UACGUAGGGCGCAAGCGUUUAUCCGGAAUUAUUGGGCGUAAAGAGCUCGUAGGCGGUUUGUCGCGUCUGCCGUGAAAGUCCGGGGCUCAACUCCGGAUCUGCGGUGGGUACGGGCAGACUAGAGUGAUGUAGGGGAGACUGGAAUUCCUGGUGUAGCGGUGAAAUGCGCAGAUAUCAGGAGGAACACCGAUGGCGAAGGCAGGUCUCUGGCAUUAACUGACGCUGAGGAGCGAAAGCAUGGGGAGCGAACAGG